rnacentral:rRNA from 1 species
UACGAGAGGCCCAAACGUUAUUCGGAAUUAUUGGGCGUAAAGCGCGCGUAGGCGGCUACUUAAGUCGGAUGUGAAAGCCCUUGGCUCGACUGAGGAAGUGCACCCGAAACUGAGUAGCUGGAGUACGAAAGAGGGUCGCGGAAUUCCCGGUGUAGAGGUGAAAUUCGUAGAUAUCGGGAGGAACACCGGUGGCGAAGGCGGCGACCUGGGUCGAUACUGACGCUGAGGCGCGAAAGCGUGGGGAGCAAACAGG